UCCUUUCGGGGUCUGCUUCGGAGCGUGGAUCGCCGCAGGCACCGGGGCGGGGGCGGGCGCCGCGGGCGGCCGGGGGCUCAGGGCACACCCGCGAGGACGCAGGGCGAGCGGUGGCUUCCCCCCACCCCCUUUUGGGGGGACCCCCCCCGAGGGUGGGGGUGGCGGCCCUCGUGGGAGCUUUUGUAGUGAAGUUAGGGUUUGGCGAAUUUGGGUCCCUUCCUCCCCAGCCCCAUUUUUUAUUCUUUGCGGUGGACGUGGUUCCCCCAAAUCACAGCCCCUUCCCCUAAUACCUAGCCCUGUAUGAUCGAAAGGAGAAAGAUACAUGACCGUGUGUGUGUGUGUGUGUGUGUGUGUGUGUGUGUGUGAGAGAGAGAGAGAGAGAGAGAGAGAGAGCGCGAGAGAGCGCGAGAGAGCAUGCUUGGUUUUCUGUGGUUUGCUUUUUUUUGAGGUAUAUGUGUGUUUUAUGUUAUGUGUGUUUUGUAUUUCUUCAUUUUUUGGUCAUUAGGUCCCAGGUUGGGACCUGGGUCUCUGCCCUAUCCCAUGCCCCAGCCCCCACCCUCUCGUGGGCACUUGCACGAUUUUCCGUCCCAUCCUUUUUUCCCCUUUAACCCUUUUUGUGCAUCGCCUUGUGCUAUUGCCCUGCUCACCCCGCCCCCUGCAACUGUCUUUGUAUGACAGUUGCAUUCACGGGUUCAAGAUGCUUGGGCGUGUGUGUGUGUGUGUGUGUGUGUGUGUGUAGUGUGUGUGCAUGUGUGCGAGUGUGUGUGCGCGCGCGCCUCGGAGAGUCAGACGUGAGCUGCUGUGCCCCCUGGGCUCGGCCGGAGCAGGGCGUCCGGCCCUUGGGUGUUGCGCUGUGUGUGAGGAUGAGGUGGGAAGCUGCCCCCACGCCAGGCCUUUGCCCCGGGCAGCGGUUGACAAAGCAGCGGGCCGGCGCGGGCUUUGUUUUUAACUGUGAUAAAUGGGGUGUGUUUGCACGGUCCCUUUUCCCCACAUCCCCUCUCCCUCACAUUCUGCUACAACAAUAGCUUGAUUUUCCCCUCUUCUCCCCCGCUCCACUCCACAUUUCUUUCAUUUUCUUUUAAUAAAAAAUUCCCACCUCCCAAGCAAACCCGAGAUGCAUUUAGAUUCAUAUUUUUUUUCUUUUUUGUAUUCUGCCUCUGGACUCACAUUUCUCGUCUUGGAAAUGUUUCUUCUAUCCUCUCCCACUCCACGUCUGCUUAAAUCCCUGCUGGCUCAGGCCCUCCCCCCUCUCCCCACUCCCUCACACACAGAAUGAUGUCUUCCCUUGGCCGACCAGGGCUCCUCUACCAAGUCCGGGCGGGGGGUGGGGUCGCAGGGCCAGCGCUUUAGUGCGCCCCAGGGGCCCGAUUGGGCAAGAAAAGGAAAGCCCAGCCCUAUUUUAUCCAGCCCAGCUGUCCCCAGCCCCGCGCCUCUCCCCAGAACCUAAAAGGCAAGCUUGGCCCCCUUAGGCCUGUUUGAACCGCAGUUUUUUUUGUGUGAUGAUAGAAUGAUGACAUUCUGCAUUUAUCAAAUCUUUUUUUUUUCUUCAUUGUGUAGCUCAGUGAAUGGUCAACUCGCUGCUGUGUGCGCUGUGACCCUUCUGCCUCCGCAUUUAGCUGUAUUGUGACACCCUCUUAACCAUUUCCUGUCUCCAUCUGAGGAAGGCAUUGCUAUUUAAGCGGCAGUAUCCCCUAUCUCAGGCCAGCCUAGCCAUGGGGGUGAGGGGGCAUGGGUGUGUGAGGAAGAAAGAGGGGGGCUGGAUGCGAUCUCCUUGAAAUGCCACCCCCUCCCUCAAUACACAAUUAUCUCUUAUUACUUGGCAUUUCCUCUUAAAACGGGUGUGGAACAUUACACUAGGCAGAAAUUCAAAAAUGAUUAAGAAGGAUGUUGAGCCUGAAAGUAUAAUUAUCCUGAUUAAAUCAUUACCAUCCUCAUUAAUACCACCAAUGUCUAAAUACCAUUGCAGGGUGCUGAUUCCAUGUUUUGAAAUUCAAAUUGCUCAGCUGCCUUUAAAUUUUAUUUUUAAUACUACCUUCUCCCUCACCCCCACCAAAGAAAAAAAAAUCCAACAAAACAAAUCCUGCCCAUCAGUUGAAGUUUACUUUCAUGGCAAACACGCCCACAGGAAAUUCAAGGGCUGAGGGGUGAGUUGGUCUAUGGGUAAAAUUUAGCACAAUGUGAUAAGAGUUCAUGACCUUCCGAUAGAGGAUACUAAUGCUUAACUCAACAAGGUCCUAAACCACAAUCUUCUUGUAAAACUAUUAGAGAGUCUGCCAGCUUAAGUCUGUUCUUUUUAGUUUCCAUUGUAGUAGUGUAGGAUGCAGGCCAUUUCAGAAUAGAUGUAGAGAAAUAACCAUUUUUGUAUCUUCAUCUUGUUUAGCCGAUUACAUUGCACUGUAAAUCCCUGUUAAGUGGAUUCCUUUUGCCUUGGCUUGGAGGCUGCAGCACCCCAUUUUCCAGUUAUCUGGGUGGCUAUCAGUUAGCUUCUUGGCAGCACCCAGGCAUAACUGAGGAUUGCAUUUAGUUGGAGGCAACAAAUAUUAAGCAUAUGCAUUAAAAAAAAAAUCUUUGAUGAAAUGACAGUUGCUGCUAUCCCGAGCCUCUGAAAAUUUGGUGCACCAAGGUCCCUGGCUUACCAGGGAGCCAUGGCCAUAGUGUCUUAAUUGUUUAAUUGUACAAUGUCAAGAGCAUCUUUGGACAUCCGCCCUGGCCCUCAGAUCUGCGCCUUUAACAGCUGGCUCCCUUCUGCUUCUCGCCAGCCAGACCUGCUUGAAAACUGAAACAAAACAGCAGCAAUAAUAAAAGAAUAAGGCCCCCACUUUGAGGGCCCUUCCAAAAUAAAGUCCCAAAUAGCCUCCCCAGACUGCCAUUUGGCAAUCUGAAAAGAAAAAGAAAAAAGAAAAGACAAGAAAAAAGAAUCCCAGCAAAAUGGUUUUCCAUUAAACAGGGGUAGCGUGUUCUGCUGUGCUGAAUUACUUCCUGUUCUUAUUUUGUGGGUAAUUUUUUCUGUAUCAAAUAUCCUUUUGGUUGUGUAUCUUUUUCACCUUUUCUUGUACUAAAACUAAAGCAUGAUCUGUAUUUUUUUACAUCCCCCGGUUGACAAUGUACAGCGCUCGGUUAGAGAUGUUACCCUGCUGAAACGUACUGUGGUCGUGUAGCCUGGGCCAUCUGCUCAUUGUACGCUGCUUUUGUUCUGUUGCCCCUCCGAAGCAUGGUGGGCCCAGCCUUUUUUUUUGUAUCGUGUGCAUGACGACAUUGUUACACACAGAAUCCACUAAUACUAAUAUACAAUCUCUCAAUAAAGAACUAGUUUUCCUAUAUUAACCUAGUGUGCUUUUUCUCUUGCUGUUUUCCCAUUUAUUGUCGUAUCCUGCUGUUUAGAUUUUCCCCCUUGCUUUUCUAUCCCCCCCCCCCCCCCCCCCCCCCCCCCCCCCCCCCCUUUUUAAAUUUUUUGGGAAUGUCUUUUUUUUUUUUUUUUUUUUUUUUUCCUUUUUUUUCUUUGUGGUACAGAUAUGGUGACUUUAAUCUCAUUUAGUCCAUAUCUUUUUACAAUAGAUGUCUGAGGCGAUAGGAGGGGCCAGUUGUCCUGUUACACUGAAACAGUUCACCUGCCUAGAGAGAACCCCUGUCUUUGGCCACCUGUAUACUCAAUAGCCUCCACAUUUCAUCUUACUUUUCAAGAUACAUGGGCACUGGGUUUAAGAUGCUGGUGAAUAGAAGGGGCCGUAACACUUAGGUUGAGAAAAGGGAUACUGUUCUUAACUAGCAAUCUUGUAGCAUUUCAGACUCGCCUAAAAACCCAUUUUGAGUUGUGUUUCAACUUUUCUGUUUGCUGUCUCAUUGAUUUACUGUCCUUAUAAAUCAUGCUGGGGAUGACAUGUUACAUGUAGCUGAAGCCAUGAUCUGGAAUUUGAAAGUACCCUCUUCUAUGUGCAUAUUUAAAUUUUUAGGACUUGCAAUGUAAGUUUUGCAUUGAGAUCCUGGAUAAGGAAGAUGUUUGAAGCAGACACUGACUCAGACCACUCCCACCUCUAUCCCAGGGCCAGCAGCGGACCUGUUACUGUAGGAAUAAGAGGGUCUGUGCCCUCUGCAGGCUGUGAGCCAGUUAAAGCUGAUUAUAGCCUAGUUUCCUGACAGCUGCUUCUCUAUGGCCCUAGGGGCCUCUCUUAAGAGAAAGACAGCUAAGAUCUCAGCCAUUGUCUAAGUGCGUGUGUUGAGGUGGGGAAGAGGGAGGGGGAGAUCAGGAGCAAAGUCAGGACCUAACCCCAAAUUGAGUUGGAAGAAGAACCCUUAAGAUGUCUUUUUUUCCAUAAUUACAUUGGAGAAGCCAGUGGAGAGGUAUUUUUUUUUCCUCCGAGUGGACCCCAAAUUCAGCCAUUUGUCAAUUCAUUUUCAGCCCAGAACAAGCUUUGCUAAAUGAGGCAUUUUAGACACUAAAGAAAUGAGUUGGUUAAAGAAAUUCCUGGUUCUUUCAAAGGGUCAUCAUUUUGAAGCUGCUCCUCUUUUGGCCAUUGUGCCUCGCCCUUGCUCCCCUGGGCUGACUGACUCCUGGGCUCACCCUCCUCCUUGCCAGGGCGGGCGCACCCCUGCCUGACCACAGCGCUUCCAUGCCUUCUUUGUGGCUUCAUGCAACUCCCCUCUCCCCCCAUGGCUGCCCUCUCUGCUCUGGCCCUUUGUUCUCAUGCUCUUCCCAGCCCGGGUGGGAAAGCUGAGCUGAUUUACUGUGACACAUGGACACACAUGGAUCUUCCCAGUGGAGGCUCUGCUGUAGUCUGCGCGAGAGAGACAUAGGUCUACAGGGCUAGUCCUCUGAAGGUUUUGUUUGUUUCUUCUUCUUCUUUUUAAAUUUUGGUUUACAUGAGACUUAGAAAGCAAAAUAAACCACUCCAAUCCAGCCCCAACAAUAAUAAAACUACCCUGAAUUGAGUGAUCACUCUCAUAUUUGCCCUAGAGAACAGUGGCUCCUUAGAUCAAUCUUAACCAAUUCCAAGAUUUCAUUUUUCUAAAUUUUUGUUAAGUGUGUCAGAAUUGUUUGACAAUACAUUUUGAGGAUGGUUAGUAACCUAGUAAUACUAUAGCAAGCUAUGGGUUAAUGGGAAAUCGUGUUUUAGCAAUGUAUCCAGUGCAUUUAAUGUUUGACCCAGAUUGUCUGAACUAAACAUAUUAAGGAGACUUUCCAACCCUGACUGGACGAUUCGGGAACUACAAAGCCAUUGUUCUUUGUAUUUAUUUUCCCAACCACCUGACACAUACCUGUUUUAGUACCUUGACUUCAGGAUUUUGGGAAACCCAUCAGUUCAGUGUAUUCUAUAUCAUAGACUUUGUAAUAAGAUGGAACACAGUUCUUCUUUCUGAACAAGAGAACUUCUCUCUUGAAACUAGCAUCAGGAAGACCCACUAAGUUAAUGAGUUUUCUUUAAUAAUAAUUAUCCAUAAACCAGAAAAUAAUUAAUCACUCAAAUUUAGGGGAAAGGACCACCAGGGUGUGGAGGCCCUAAUGUGCAGGUGACAGAGCCUUGGCUACCUGUCUUUUGUAGUUUUCUGACUCCUGCCCCACCCUGCCUUCCCAUCUUUAAAUAAGUAUCCUGCAGUGGCACAUUAGAAGAUUUAAUGGUUUUCUAGGCUAGGGAAGCUACAGUUCUGUGCUGGAUCCAAGGGCAGCAGGGACCCCUUUUCUGAAGCAAAGGGCAAGAGACAACAGGUCUUUGACUCUGAUUCAGGGUGUGACUUUGGUUGUCUCAAUCCUGCUCCACAAUUGUCAGACAAGUCUGCAAGACACUUGUGCCUUAAUUUCUCCAUGGAUCUAAACAGCUUUGUAAAAAUUCCCAGCUUAACAUUGUAUGAAUGUGAAUUAGUAUUUAUUAGUUUCCGGUAUGGUUUAGCUACAGAUGAACCAAUAUAUUUCCAAGAGAAUUGGGAGGAAGGGGAGGGCUUAUCUUGGAAAGACUAAGAUUUUCAGGAUUAUUUAAGAACCAAAAGCAAACACUUAUAACCCCAUAGCCAAACCACAUGCAAUGCCUGUACUUCAUGUGUUCAGUCAUUCAUUCAUUCACCCACUUACUUGUUUGUUCAUUUAGUUAACGAGUGUUCAUUGAAUACUUCCUUGGGGCCAAACACUGCGCGAAGUGGGAUACAGAAGAAACGGAGACUGGAGUGCCUCCCUACUGGGGCUUAUGCUGAGGUUGAAGGAUGAAUGCUUAGGAAACCAGAUGCUGUCUAAGAUGUUCUGGGCCAAAACAUCCACACGACCAGCAGAAUCCCCUGACUGGCGAGAUAAAAGAGCUUGGAGUAGUCCAGGGUUUGGGUCUUAGCCCAGUCUUGACCUAGCAGGGUGAGCGUAGGCCACUGUUCUGAGCAUCCUCUGAACAAUGACUGAUGACUGCCAUGUACCUGAUAGGCUGUGUCUAAGCUAUUAGAAGGUACCUGGCAUGCAGCAGGUGCCUAGGAUAUGCCAGAUGGCUGCCCCUUCCCUUCACAACUGUAGGUGUUUACUGGCCAGGGGAUCAAAUAAUGUUAGAGGUGAGCUUGCUGCAGAGGCAGGUUUGCCAUGUGCCUCAAAGGGUGCUGUGUAUACAGGAGAGAGGAGGAGGAAGAGGAGAGAGCGCCCCAAGGGGAGGGAAGGAGUGAUUUUGCUCAAGGCCAGUGCUGUGCUGAUUUGGCAAGAACAGAAAGUGCAUAGCAGGAGGGAGGAGUGUGUGUGUUGAUGGGGGAGCAUGAGUGCAGGCCUAUAGGGAGCACUCAGAUCAUUGUCCUGUCUUUGAAUGACUCUCCUCAGAGCACAACUCCGAGGGUUAAGCAGCACGAGGUCUGGAGAAAAGGCUUGAAGAGAUUUUGAAGCCAGUUUCUGAAAGAGUUUGGACUUUCUCCUUUGGCCUUUGGGAGCUCUGAGGGGAGAGAGGUGUUUAAACAGUUUAUUCUGCAGCUGAUGGCAGAGGGAUGAGGCUAGGGGCUGAAGUCAGGGAGGAGGUGGGGCAGGCUUGGGGGUGGGGAAGGGAAGAAGGCUCAUAUCAGGGGCUUUAUUGUAAGGUGGAGUAAGCAGGAUUGGGUCCACGUGGAAGAGGCUGAGGGGCAGGAGGUCUUUGGGGUGCUUGGGAGAAUAUAAGACCAUGAAGACAAAUAGGGAAGGUGGGAGGAACAGUCCAUUGUGGGGAGAACUGAGUCUAGUGUACAGAUCAACACAUGAACUUCAGACACCAGGGUGGCAGAUGCAAGGGGAUUGUGGCAAUGUCUAGGGGUUGAGACUUCUAGUCCUUUUCAUACAGAUUCCUGGUUGGGGUAGGAAAUGAACUUCAACCAUAAAAAUUCCUCAAAAUCAUAUGACUUGUCUCCCCAAAAUUCUCCGUCCAUGCCUGAAACCCCUAUGGGUUAUUCACACGUGUCUUUCCCAGCUUAGGUCACCCUCUGAGCAAGCUUUUUUAUAAUAUGAACUCCUCCAGGAACUGUACCAAUCUGCGUCCCAAAAUCUCAGUUGCAACAAAUUUUAUCAAACUUUGCCUUUUUUUGAAAAGACAGACCCCAAGGUAGGCAAGUGCCAGGAGUUUUGCCUCCACUGCUUUGCAAAGGCCGUCCCCACACAUGGGAGCAGGGGAGCUGGAGGGAGCCCACCUGGGAGCAUAUUGGGAGAGGAGAGGGCAGGAGUGGGGACUGAGGUCAAGGACAGGGGAUCUGAUCUCAAGAUUGGGCCUGUCUGCAAAAAGGGGGUUUUUCCCAAUUGAAAGUUCUCCCUUCCAUUAUCUCAUUUCCUCCUUGGCACAGCCUGUGAGGAGUUAAUCGGGAAUCAGAGGAGGAAACUGAGGCCAAGAGUGGUGAAAGCCUUUGCCACCCUUCUCAACUAGCUAGUAAAUGGCUAAGCCAGAAGGGGAGCCCCGGCAAUUGGACACUCGGCUGUGGCCCUCUGCACUGCCCCCCGCCCAACGCAUGGCCUGCAUGCGGCAAGGACCCUCGUCAAGACUAAGGCAAUAAUUAGAAAGGAAUUCCUGCUUUCCCGCCAUAGCCGGUGGGACCAAUUCUGAAUGCUGGACUCUUUGUCCACAGUGGAAGAGGCUCUUUCCAGGUAAUGGCCUGCCAAACUUCGAUGGGGUCUAAGCCCCCAACCCUGAGCCCUGCACUUCCCAGAAGGGGCCUUUGAGAGACAGGGAGGGUGCAUGGUGGACCAGAAACUCCCCAGAGUAGGAAAUGAGCAGGGCAUUGGAACCCAGGGUGGUGAGUCCUUUCACCUUCAGAUGCCGGCUCAGAGUAGGCGUGGCCGGCUCGCUGGGUGAACUCCAGGGAGGUGGAGUCUGUGCCCGGAUUUCCACAGAAAUAAUAGGUAUCCCCUUCCUGAGGCUUUGAAUCUCAAGGCGAGGACACGUUUUGCAUUUUUUCUUAGAUCAUCUCGAAGCCUUAAUAAAUUAUAUCUAUGUUGUUUCAUGGAGAUGAUAGAAUCACAUUCUGGAAAGUUUAGAAAAUAAACCAAAGGAAAAAACUCGUAGGAGCCCGUCCCUUUGCGAUCAUGUCAGUGAAAUUCCUUCAUAGUUUUGUUCAUAUAUUUGCUUGGAUUUUUAGUGUGGAGCUGUAAACAUAAUAUAUGUCUACUUUUUACGGUCUCUAUUUCCUAUUUCACAUUAAUGUCUCAGACAUGUUCACAUUCUGCUACGUUGUUUUCACAAGCACGGCUUUUAAUGGCUACCUAAUGUUCCACUUGAAAAGUGGCUCAACAGUCAAGUUUGCCAGCUUCCCAUACACCCAAAUUGCCUUAUGCUCAAGGCCACUUGGUGCUGCUCUAACACACUUCCCUCAGGCUGCCAUCUGGCCAAGUGGGGAGGAGGUGGUGAGUGAAUCAGGUGUGACAACACUUCCUCCCCUCUGCCCCCCAGCAGCCCCUUCUAUCGAGAGGCCCAGAUAAGUGGAGGGCUGGUAGAUAAGAGAGAGCUGGGGAAAGAAAUGUGAUUUGGGUAAACUUUUCUGAGAUCUAGAUUCUGAUCCAUAAACUUCCACUGUGAUCUUGAACAGCUCAGUUUCCUUCCCUCAGUUCUCAGCUUCCCCAUCAGUCAAAUGGGUACGUCUAUGGCUUGUGCCUUACUGGACUUGUCACAUGAAGGAAUGCAUAAGAAACAAGUCGAGAAGCCAGCCAAAGGUGACAGUGAUCAUCCCCGGCAUUCUUCAUAGUGCUGGUGCUCACACAGGCCAUGUGGGACAGUGAACACAGUCCUGGCUUCAUGGCCUCUCUGCCAGUAACUACCCCUGUGAGGUCUUGGCCAAGCCUGACCGCUCUGUGACUUCACUGCCUACCUGCCAAGGUACAGAAUGGGCUGGAUUGCCCCUUCCUGCUCUAAAAUACUGUGCUUUCCUCGUGAUGAGAAGAGCAUCUAUUCCUAUCACCUUUUUUGCUUUUUCUUCGGGACAGUAGCCACAUGCCCUUUAGGACUCAGUAGGCACGUGACCUUCCACUGGCCAGGUCACACUGCACAGUGGGUGGGAGGGAAGCAGUAAUUGCCCCUGCCUGGCUAGUGGCCCAUCCAGGGAAAAGGCUCAGCCUGGAAGCACAGACACAGGGCUCCUGGACCCCGGGCUCAGGGCUGGCGUUAAGUCUGAUGCCUCUGCUCUCACUGGGCCGCUGAGCAGGACGUUCCCCCCGGACGCUGCUGCUUCCUCCUGCUGUCCUUUCCUUGAAACAUGCCCCUGGGUGUGCCAUUGUGCACAGUGGACCCCUUCAGGAAGUCCUCCCUGCCAGCGAGGGAGGGGGCCAGUCACCCAUGCUGGCCUCCCCCGACGACGCUGUAUCCCUCAGAUCUAAGUGUUGGCCUCACCGCACCUAGGAAAGGAAGUGGUGGCUGCUGACUCAGCACCAGCCUGCAGGUGGAGAGGGGGUGGUGGAGCUCUCUGAGGCUGGGAGGAAGUGAGAAUUCAGCGGACACCUGUCUCAAGGAAGGGCAGGAAGCGUUGGAACAGCUGCUGUGCCCCCUCUGAAGCUGAGUGGGA